rnacentral:rRNA from 1 species
GGAAUAUUGGUCAAUGGAGGCAACUCUGAACCAGCCAUGCCGCGUGCAGGAAGACGGCCCUAUGGGUUGUAAACUGCUUUUAUCUGGGAAUAAACCUUUUUACGUGUAAGAAGCUGAAUGUACCAGAAGAAUAAGGAUCGGCUAACUCCGUGCCAGCAGCCGCGGUAAUACGGAGGAUCCAAGCGUUAUCCGGAUUUAUUGGGUUUAAAGGGUGCGUAGGCGGCCUGUUAAGUCAGAGGUGAAAGACGGUAGCUCAACUAUCGCAGUGCCUUUGAUACUGACGGGCUUGAAUAAACUAGAGGUAGGCGGAAUGAGACAAGUAGCGGUGAAAUGCAUAGAUAUGUCUCAGAACACCGAUUGCGAAGGCAGCUUACUAUGGUUUUAUUGACGCUGAGGCACGAAAGCGUGGGGAUCAAACAGGAUUAGAUACCCCUG